rnacentral:rRNA from 1 species
UCGAGCGAGAUCAGUCCUUCGGGACUGAGGACAGCGGCGAACGGGUGAGUAACACGUGGGUAAUCUGCCCUCGAUUCUGGGAUAGCCCGGGGAAACCCGGAUUAAUACCGGAUAGCCUCUCGAGCUCUCGGGCUCGUGAGAAAAGGUAGCUUCGGCCUCCGAUCGAGGAUGGGCCCGCGGCGGAUUAGCUUGUUGGUGGGGUAACGGCUCACCAAGGCGACGAUCCGUAGCUGGUCUGAGAGGACGAUCAGCCACACUGGGACUGAGACACGGCCCAGACUCCUACGGGAGGCAGCAGUGGGGAAUCUUGCGCAAUGGGCGAAAGCCUGACGCAGCGACGCCGCGUGGGGGAAGACGGCCUUCGGGUUGUAAACCUCUUUCGACAGGGACGAAGCCACUCGGGUUAAUAGCCCAGAGGGUGACGGUACCUGCAGAAGAAGCUCCGGCUAACUUCGUGCCAGCAGCCGCGGUAAUACGAAGGGAGCAAGCGUUG